UCCUAGCCCUGAUAGAAGUGAAAAUCCUUUUUUGAGGCUUUUUGCCGAAAAAAAGAUUGCAACGGAUAGCAGGAAACAGC
rfam:Flavobacterium micromati strain DSM 17659 genome assembly, contig: Ga0131131_112